rnacentral:rRNA from 1 species
UAGGGAAUCUUCCACAAUGGACGCAAGUCUGAUGGAGCAACGCCGCGUGAGUGAAGAAGGGUUUCGGCUCGUAAAGCUCUGUUGGUAGUGAAGAAAGAUAGAGGUAGUAACUGGCCUUUAUUUGACGGUAAUUACUUAGAAAGUCACGGCUAACUACGUGCCAGCAGCCGCGGUAAUACGUAGGAGGCAAGCGUUGUCCGGAUUUAUUGGGCGUAAAGCGAGUGCAGGCGGUUCAAUAAGUCUGAUGUGAAAGCCUUCGGCUCAACCGGAGAAUUGCAUCAGAAACUGUUGAACUUGAGUGCAGAAGAGGAGAGUGGAACUCCAUGUGUAGCGGUGGAAUGCGUAGAUAUAUGGAAGAACACCAGUGGCGAAGGCGGCUCUCUGGUCUGCAACUGACGCUGAGGCUCGAAAGCAUGGGUAGCGAACAGGAUUAGAUACCCUGGUAGUCCAUGCCGUAAACGAUGAGUGCUAAGUGUUGGGAGGUUUCCGCCUCUCAGUGCUGCAGCUAACGCAUUAAGCACUCCGCCUGGGGAGUACGACCGCAAGGUUG